CCUACGGGUGGCAGCAGUCGGGAAUAUUGCGCAAUGGAGGAAACUCUGGCGCAGGGACGCCGCGUGCAGGAAGAAGGUUUUCGGAUUGUAAACUGCGUUAGACAGGGAAGAAAAAAGACAGGACCGGUAGAAUAAGCGCCGGCUAACUACGUGCCAGCAGCCGCGGUAAUACGUAGGGAGCAAGCGUUCGCCGGAUUUAUUGGGUGUAAAGGGUGCGUAGAAGGAGAAGCAAGUUAGUGGGGAAAUCCCGCGGCUUAACUGAGGAACUGCAACUAAAACUACUUCCCUUGAGUACUGGAGAGGUCAGUGGCAUUCCUAGUGUAGCGGUUACAUGCGUCGCUAUUCGGAGGAACCCCCGUGGCGAAGGCGACUUUCUGGACAGUACCUGACGUUGCGGCACG
rnacentral:rRNA from 1 species